rnacentral:rRNA from 1 species
UUGACCUCGGAUCAUGUAGGGAUACC